rnacentral:rRNA from 1 species
AACGAACGCUGGCGGCAUGCCUAACACAUGCAAGUCGAACGAUGGUCUUCGGAUCAUAGUGGCGCACGGGUGCGUAACGCGUGGGAAUCUGCCCUUGGGUUCGGAAUAACAGUUGGAAACGACUGCUAAUACCGGAUGAUGUCGAUAAGACCAAAGAUUUAUCGCCCGAGGAUGAGCCCGCGUCGGAUUAGCUAGUUGGUGGGGUAAAGGCCUACCAAGGCGACGAUCCGUAGCUGGUCUGAGAGGAUGAUCAGCCACACUGGGACUGAGACACGGCCCAGACUCCUACGGGAGGGGGCAGUGGGGGAUAUUGGAAAAUGGGCGCAAGCCUGAUCCAGCAAUGCCGCGUGAGUGAUGAAGGCCUUAGGGUUGUAAUGCGCUUUUACCCGGGAAGAUCAUGACUGUACCGAGAGAAUAAGCCCCGGCUAACUACGUG